AUGAUGGACGCAAUCUACGGACACAGACCGGCAAGUUUGAGACGAGAAGGAGGCAUCAAUACGGCCACCUCGUUGCUGGAGUCGACGGUGGAGCCUCCCGUUGAGCAUCCUAGCUGUCGGGAGGAAAUGGAACCCGAGGUACUUGGUGAAAUUUCCACCCUUGAAAGCGCAAGUUCGCCUGCCAGGACUUCAACACCGACACGACCACCACCAGAAUCUGCUCCAUCAACUGCGAGUGAACAUCGGCGUAUUACAAUUGGCAAGAGGAAAAGGGGGCAACAGGAUGUUGUUGCGGCCCUGGCUGAGAUGCAGGAAGCUGAUGAGAAGCAGCAGGAGUGGCUGGAAAAGAUGGAGGACCGCCGUGACCGGCACUUCGAACUUAUGAUGGAGGAUGCCCGUGAGGCAAGGCAGCAUGAGGCUGCUAUAACUCGCCAACAUAUGGAGUAG
ensembl:lncRNA